AUGCAGAAGAAUGUCUACUGCCUGUCUUUCUGAGUCAAUGAGAAGGAGUGCUCACCAGAAUUUCCUAAAAUACAAAGGCCAGAAGACCCCGCAUCCAAGAUGAAGAUAAUUUUCUAAUUAAUGGACUGAGUGUCCCACAAAUGAUCUUAUUCUGAAGACCGUGAACAUAUCUACCCGAAUGGAACAAGUACUGUUCGACAAGUGACGGCGGGCUCCGUCAGUGAAGGGACUGGGAACUGAAGGCAGAUGUGUCUGGCUCCAGAGUGGGCUUUCCACUGCCCCACACUGCCUCCCUGUUUGAAAUAACAGCCAUGUUUAGUGUGAAGAAAAGGAGCCUUGUGGACUGAGUGGAAGAAGGAAAUGUAUUAGCAGUCCUCAAAUAUUUGUGGAAGCAGUAUUAGACAUUUUAUUCUGUAUUGCUCCAAGGAGUGCAAACUGUAGAGAAACAGAUGUGGAUUCAACAUAAAGAAUUUUCCAAGAGCAGGGGCUGUCUGGAGGGAUUGGGUGGCUCAGCCAUUCUGUUACAUGACAAGUUCUCUAUCACUCAGGGCUGGGGAACCUUGUGGUAGGUAUGCCAGCUUUGCGGAUAUGACUAAAUGAAUGACUUUUAAGGUCUUUUUCUACCUGACAGAAACUAAGACUCAAAGAGGUACUGGAAUUUGGCUAAAGUGAUCCAUCCUCCCAUCCUUCCGUGUGUGCGUCUCCCAGCUCAAAACUGUACAGCAGGCUGCUUCACACCGAAAGAUAAAUUGAAGAAAUCAUCACUAAAAUUACAUCAAUCUCUCUCGACCAAAUUUAACCGACAUAUUCCUACUAGUGUUUUCCUCUCUCUUCUGGUUCAUUUUUGGGUAAAAUAUCUUUGCAGCAAAAAGCUCCAAACAUGAAUGGUAAAGAAAGAAAGCAACAGAGCUGAAUCCCUUAACCACAUAAAACAAACUCAAAGAACAGAUACUAUAGUUGUUUCUAUACAUUUACAGUAUUACUGGGCACCCUUAAGCUAUCUUUACACACCUUCUCUCUGCAUUACUCCACACAACCUGUAAUCCCACACCUGGUACUCCUACCCCACUAUUCCAUACCUAGGAGCCAUCUAGGCCGCUCAACCAGAUAAAUAGGUUAAAGGAUUCUAGUUGGUUAAUACUACUUUCUUUCAGACACACCCGUAAUUUCUUCCUAGCUGCCUGGGGAAGAAAGGCUACAGCACACAACUCUUUCUCCACACUUUCCACUCCCCCUUUUUAAACUGCUUCUCUUUUUAUUUUAUUCCUCCUGCCCGGAUUAGUCAACGCAGGAGCAGGUGUCUUGGUUUUUCCUCGAUUGCUCUCAUCACCUCGCACUUCCCUCAGCUGCAAUGAUCUGUCCUCCAGGGUCCCCACCCAAGCCACCAAAGCAGAUCUCCGGCCGUUGGUCCCCAUGUAUGCAGGAGGCCCCACGGGAGACCCAAGGGCCUCACGACCCGGCCCCUUCCACCUGCCCGCCACCUCGCCCACAUCCGGGUACCUGCGAUCAUUCCUACUCCCAACGCCAUUUCCCAGGAGGGAGAGCUAGGCCUGGCGAGGGGCCAAGUCCCGAGGCCCAGGGGUGCCGGCCACACCAGCUAACUGUGCGAAGGCGCGAAUUCAGGUCCUAGGCUCGGCCUUCAGCCUUCAGCUUUCCCGUCUCUGGUGAGCUGCAGGAAGAGGAAGGCCGUGGCCCUCGCCCACGUGCCGUGCCUCGUGCAGCACCCACACACUCCGGGAACCCGCACUCGCUCGCACCCCCUGGACCACUGUCAUCACUCAGCACACUCCACGCACACCAUCCACACGUCACUUUUGAUGGGGGCUGCUAGGGAGAGGAUGGAGUUCACUCCUUUCCCGUGUGGUCUGUCUCUUACCUGACUC